AUGAUAGAAGAGACCCGGAUGGUACUGAAAUUCAGUGCUUUGUCGCUAAGAGUUUGGAUCAAGUUGUCGGCGUUGCCCUCCUUAGACGAGAAGAGGAUAUAGAAUAUAUCCGCUCUCAUUUCAACAUUGAAGAUUUUAUUUACUUCAAUCAUCAUAAAAGAGAUGAACAUGGCCGUCUGUUCCAUUUUGCUCUCAAUCCUGUAUUUCAGCAAUAUUCCAAACACUUUCUAAAGGAAGUGCUAAGACUGGCCCACAAAUCUUGCCUGUAUUACCCAGUCUGCCCAAGAUACACAGAAACACAACCAAGCACAUAACGUCCGCGGAAAAAUAGC